AGAGACACCUGCCGGCGACACGCGGCAGCGCGGCCACUGCCACACCACCCAGGCGCGGGCCAGGCUGGGGCAGGCCCGGGAGGCCCCACGUGCUGUGCCUGCGAGCCAGUUCCUGAAUGCACUGCCAAGGACACAACGCAGUCGCUUUUUUUUUUUUUUUUUAAUGUUCUUCCGGAGGGUUUUCAACGCACACAGGCCCACAGAAUACGGAUAGGGAAGGCCAGAAGAUUCUUCGCCUUGGUCCUGGGUGACAUCUUCAGGCUGCUUGGCCAGGGGACACCCAACUAUUCCCCCAGCUGCAGAAGAGAAAGAACAACAGAAUCCAUUCCUCUGCAGUCAUGUCCUUGAGAAGAGAGCAAUGCCCCUGUUAAGCUGGCCUCUGUGGCUCAUGCCUGCAAGCCUAGUGACUCAGGAAGCCAAGAUGGGGAGGAUCAUCUGUUUAAAGCCAGACUGGGGGAAAAGUCAGACUCCUCUACCAAUCACCCCUUCCCCCCCACCCCCCAUCAACAGGAAAAGCUGGGCAUGGUGGGGUGUGCCUUGCCCUUACAAUCAUGGGCGUUCACUGCCACCAUGCUAGAAAGUGCUUGAGGCUGGGGAAGAAGGACGCUCCCUUGGAGCUUCCGGUUUGCAGUCCAUCUAUCUCCUCCAUCUCCAAAGCUGAGUUCUUAGAAGGGGGGGAUAGAUGGGGCCUACAGUGGAGCAAACUGGAAAAGGAGGUGUGAGGUAAGAUGCUAUAGGCUGGGUGGGUAAGUAGAGGGGUGCUAGCUGGCAUGACCAGAGGGA